rnacentral:tRNA from 1 species
UUUCCGUUGGUCAAGCGGUUAAGACACCGCCCUUUCACGGCGGUAACACGGGUUCGAAUCCCGUACGGGUCACCA